rnacentral:rRNA from 1 species
AUUGAACGCUGGCGGCAGGCCUAACACAUGCAAGUCGAGCGGUAACAGGAAGAAGCUUGCUUCUUUGCUGACGAGUGGCGGACGGGUGAGUAAUGUCUGGGAAACUGCCUGAUGGAGGGGGAUAACUACUGGAAACGGUAGCUAAUACCGCAUAACGUCGCAAGACCAAAGAGGGGGACCUUCGGGCCUCUUGCCAUCGGAUGUGCCCAGAUGGGAUUAGCUUGUUGGUGGGGUAACGGCUCACCAAGGCGACGAUCCCUAGCUGGUCUGAGAGGAUGACCAGCCACACUGGAACUGAGACACGGCCCAGACUCCUACGGGAGGCAGCAGUGGGGAAUAUUGCACAAUGGGCGCAAGCCUGAUGCAGCCAUGCCGCGUGUAUGAAGAAGGCCUUCGGGUUGUAAAGUACUUUCAGCGGGGAGGAAGGGAGUAAAGUUAAUACCUUUGCUCAUUGACGUUACCCGCAGAAGAAGCACCGGCUAACUCCGUG